UACGUAGGGACCGAGCGUUGUCCGGAAUCAUUGGGCGUAAAGAGCGUGUAGGCGGCCUUUUAAGUCCUGCGUGAAAUCCUGCGGCUCAACCGCAGACGGUCGUGGGAAACUGGAAGGCUAGAGUGCGGGAGAGGAGAGUGGAAUUCCCGGUGUAGCGGUGAAAUGCGCAGAUAUCGGGAAGAACACCAGUGGCGAAGGCGGGUCUCUGGACAGUUCCUGACGCUGAGGCACGAAGGUCAGGGGAGCAAACGGG
rnacentral:rRNA from 1 species